AAUUUCAUUGUGGUAUUUGUGUGGUUAAAAUUAUGGAUGUGGACCAAUCCUUGACCACACAUCUCCCUUUCUCUCUCUUCUCUCCCGUGCUUCUCUCUCUCUAACUCACUCUCCCCCUUCUCUCUCAUUGUACGGAUAGACACCAAAACCCUUUGGAACGUGUCAGAUCGAAAGUUUUGAAGGCACCAUCGUGUUCCUUGUGUCCUUGCGAGUCGAGUAGUACCAUUUUCAGGAAGCUACAAGCUUGUAGAAAGCUUUAAGACACUCCUACGAAGCUCGGAGAUGAAGAAUCGCAGGAAUUGGACGUAAGGAACCCUAGUUUUUCCAAUUCCCGAUUUAGUCACUAUUCACAUACUCUUAAACCCUUGAGUUUUUAUGUUUUAGGACCAUAUCGAGCUCAAGAAGGUCCUCACGAUGCUCGGAGUGCAUCGUUGGUAAAAAUUGGUCCACGGGAAGCCCAGUUUCGAAAUUUUGCAGAGGUCGUCGGAGUUUCAACCUCCCCGAAGUAUUUUCGUAAAUUUCAAAGCUCGAGACAGGUUCUAGAUAGCAGAGCUUUGGUGGCCACGAAGAAUCCAACGGUGUUCUAACAGAAUUCACAAAAGGGGGAUUCACCCUCGGGUGAUAUAUCUUAGUAAUUGUAUUCUUUAAAGCUUCCGAACUAUGUAAAUGGUUACGUCACUCUCACGUGACGGCCAGCAUGCCCUCCUUCGGGACGGGGUGUGUCAUUUUAUUUCUAUCCAUAAUUUAUUUAUAAUGUACCCAUUAUUCUUUAUAAAUGUACCACUUUCUUAUAUGAAAAAUGUAUCCUUUUUUUUUAAGUACCAUUUUUUAUGUAAAAUGUACCCAUUUUUUGUUAUAUAAAAUGUUCUCCUUU